rnacentral:tRNA from 1 species
CCGGCCAGUGGCGCGGCUCUCAGAUACCACGGCUUUCCGACGCUGUCGGGGUCGUGGAAGAAUUCGCGCGGCGUCUCCGAGUACACCAGGCCGGCC